GAUGAACGCUGGCGGCGUGCCUAAUACAUGCAAGUCGAGCGAACAGACGAGGAGCUUGCUCCCCUGACGUUAGCGGCGGACGGGUGAGUAACACGUGGAUAACCUACCUAUAAGACUGGGAUAACUUCGGGAAACCGUAGCUAAUACCGGAUAAUAUAUUGAACCGCAUGGUUCAAUAGUGAAAGACGGUUUUGCUGUCACUUAUAGAUGGAUCCGCGGCCCAUUAGCUAGUUGGUAAGGUAACCGCUUACCAAGGCGACGAUGCGUAGACGCCCCGAGAGGGUGGAUCGGCACCCGGGGAGAGAGGCACGGACCCGACUCCGAAGGGGGGAAGGGGUGGGGAAUUCUCGCGAAGGGGGCAAAGGCUUAACGAGGCAAGCCGGGGUGAGGAUGAAGGAUUUAUGGUUGGAAAAUGCUUUUGUACGGGAAGAAAAAAAGGUUUUAUAAACAGGAGGGUUAUGACCGUACCGGAAGAAUAAGCCCCGGCUAAAUUCGUG
rnacentral:rRNA from 1 species